GAACGUCAACAUUUACCUCAGAUGUGUUGUUAAAUAACUAAUAAAAUGCUGCUUUUGGCUAAAAUUACACUGUAAUGUCACUUAGCAUCAAGUGCUAACACAGCUAACAUGCGUUCAAUACAGAGCUGUUCAACCUGUUGUUUGUUGUGCUAGCACAUGAUAGUAAGUGUAUUUACAGCGUGAUUGUACCUGUUCAUAUGAAGACAAUGUAAAGACGGUGGAAACGGUACGGAAUUGUCCGGAACAUUUACCUCAGAUGUGUUGAUAAAGUACUUUGAAAGUGCUCCAUUCGGCUAAAAUUACACUGUAAUUAAACUUAGCAUCAAGUGCUAACACAAAUUAUAUGGUUUUUACCAUCAACUUAAUUUCCGUACUUUAUUUACUGCUGUUAUAGAAAGUUAAUCAACAUCUUCUGACCAAUCAGAAUCCAGAACACAACAGCACUGUGGUGUGACAUAUUUAAUGUUUUAAUGCAGCCUGUGUGUGUGUGUGUGUGUGUGUGUGUGUGUGUGUGUUUUCUACUUUCACUUUUAGUGUGUAUGUGUGUGUGUGUGUGUGUGUGUGUGUGUGUGUGUGUGUUUGGCCUGAGAACUAUACAUCACAAAGCACUAACACAUGUGGAGGCCAGGCGAUGUGUGUGAGCUUGUUGUGUUUUUCCCCUUACUUCAGCACAUCUGAGAGAAGUUUCUGGAACUGCAGCUCCCUGUCAAAACAAAGAUGGCCGCCAGGGGCUUGAGAGGGACAGAGAACCGCAAAACCAGAGAGACUUUACGCUACAGCUCACUUCACAUGGGCCUCCAACACACACACACACACACACACACACACACACACACACACACACACACACACAAACUCUCUUUCUUAAAGGAACAUUUUUGGCCAAAGUAGACGAACAGCUGAGGCGUGUUUGGAUGCUAAUGUAGCUAACAAGUAGUGGAAGUCACGCAAAAUCUUUGCUAGUAUGGGCUUCCUGUCACACUUCAUCAUGUAGCUCAACACUCGAAGGUUAUUUACGAUGGCCGCCAUCUUGGGCAACCGGAAUCACUUCAUUUGUGUUUUUAUAUUAGCGCAUUUUGCUAAGACUCCUCUGUGUCAGAUAGUGUCUCCUGAACCACGUACAGAACAGACUGUUUAUGAAUAAGAUUUUGGGUGACAGACUUUAUCACUGUAACCUCAAGCACAAAACAUAGGAGACACUUUGUACCGUUAAUACCUGAGUAAACUAUUCCUUUAACACACACACACACACACAUACACACACACACACACACACACACACACACACACACACACACACACACACUGUCUUUCUGUCUCUCUCUGUCCCUCUAACACCCCCCCCCCCCCCCCACAACCCACCCCAAUCACACAGCUGGUUUUACUUAACGCUCUCUGUGGCUGUGUGUGUUUGGGUGUGUGUGUGUGUGAGAGAGAGAGAUUCAUUAGCUCUGGCUGUGUGUUUUGCACCAGUGCUGCGUGUGUUAUUGUUAGGAUGUGGUAAAAUUAUAAAUAUGGGAUACAGAUUUUGUGUGUGUGUGUGUGUGUGUGUGUGUGUGGUAUGUCUGGGCCACUGCCUGAUUGUACAGCAGUAAAACAAUUCUGUCACAAUUUGUAGCACUAACAGUUGAACGCGGCUGCAGAACACACACGCACACACACACACACACACACACACACACACACACACACACACACACGUGUUGCUUUAUUAUGGGCAUUAGAAGUGGAUGGUCUCUUCAGUUCAGUGCUAGCUAGAUAACUAAAUAGCUAACCAAAGCCUCGAAAAAAAUAAGUAAACACACAACGAUUCGUAAGCGUAAGUGAAAGUGAAAGCGUCUCUUUUUUAAAUAAUGAUAAAGGAAAGUGAUUUUUUACCUGAAUAUGUACUUAUUUUGUUCCAUCGACUUUUCAUUUGUUUUCAUCGUUGUCAGGUUCGCUACGUUAGUUAGCUAGUGGUUUCUCUUAUUCACACGUCAGCUAUUUUGUUUGUGGCAUCACAAAGAUUGAAGGGAAGUGUGCAACGCUUAAUCAGAAAAACAGACAUGUGGCUCUUUCCAUUGAUUCUGAUCUGAAAAGUUUUCAGAAACAAUUCCUACUUCUUUUCUUUUAACAAAAACAAAUAAUCGAUUACUAAUAAGCAAAUAGUUUACUAAAAUAAUGAAUUAUUUACAUAAAAACUGUAAAUCACGUACUAAAAAACGUAUACAGCUCAUUAUUUGUUCCAUGAAUCAAUUAACAUAAAUAUAUUAUAUAUAUAUAAUAAUAAAUGAGUCGAUCAUUUUAAAAGAUUCAGUUCCUUAAAAGUUGAAUUUAUUACUAAAAUAAGAACCGAACAUUAAAGAGUCUCUGAAAACUAUUUCUUCAAAAGAGAAUUUAUUACUAAACAAGAAUCAAUGACACAAACAGAUCAUUUUUUAUUUAAAAAAAUUGAUUACUAAAAAAGACUUAAUUACUAAAAAAAGAUUUAUUAAUAAAAACGAAGGGACUACUGAAAGGACGUUAGAGAUUAAUUUCAAAAGCUGAUUGAUUAAAACACUGACUGCUAAAACACUUACUCAAUAAUGAAGACCUGAUUAUUACUAAACAACAGCUGAUUAAUAAAAACAGAAUCUUUUGCUAAUAUUUAUUACCUGGUUUAGUUAGCUAGCGUUAACUAGCCAUGCUAAUGUUCGCUAGCUGGCGUAUUUGACAGGUCCUACAUUAAGAUUAGCUUCAGCUUCUGUUACUUCUGCAAAGGG
ensembl:lncRNA